UACGAAGGGGGCUAGCGUUGCUCGGAAUCACUGGGCGUAAAGCGCACGUAGGCGGAUCUUUAAGUCAGGGGUGAAAUCCUGGAGCUCAACUCCAGAACUGCCUUUGAUACUGAGAAGCUUGAGUCCGGGAGAGGUGAGUGGAACUGCGAGUGUAGAGGUGAAAUUCGUAGAUAUUCGCAAGAACACCAGCGGCGAAGGCGGCGCUGCCGUGGUCGGU
rnacentral:rRNA from 1 species